GACGAACGCUGGCGGCGUGCCUAAUACAUGCAAGUCGAGCGGACUUUCAAGAAGCUUGCUUUUUGAAAGUUAGCGGCGGACGGGUGAGUAACACGUGGGCAACCUGCCUGCAAGACGGGGAUAACUCCGGGAAACCGGGGCUAAUACCGGAUAAUAUCUUCCUUCGCAUGAAGGAAGGUUGAAAGGCGGCGCAAGCUGCCGCUUGCAGAUGGGCCCGCGGCGCAUUAGCUAGUUGGUGAGGUAACGGCUCACCAAGGCGACGAUGCGUAGCCGACCUGAGAGGGUGAUCGGCCACACUGGGACUGAGACACGGCCCAGACUCCUACGGGAGGCAGCAGUAGGGAAUCUUCCGCAAUGGACGAAAGUCUGACGGAGCAACGCCGCGUGAGCGAAGAAGGUCUUCGGAUCGUAAAGCUCUGUUGUCAGGGAAGAACAAGUACCGUUCGAACAGGGCGGUACCUUGACGGUACCUGACCAGAAAGCCACGUCUAACUACGUG
rnacentral:rRNA from 1 species